GAGAGGUUGGCGCGGGCAGGCGCCUCGCCAACCCGGUCAGAUCCGGAAGGAAGCAGCCGUAACGAGCCCCGCUUGGGUCGU
rnacentral:SRP_RNA from 1 species